CGGGGCUAAACAUAUUACCGAAGCUGUGGAUUGUCCUUUGGACAAUGGUAGGAGAGCGUUCUAAGGGCGUCGAAGCAUGAUCGCAAGGACAUGUGGAGCGCUUAGAAGUGAGAAUGCCGGUGUGAGUAGCGAAAGACGGGUGAGAAUCCCGUCCACCGAUUGACUAAGGUUUCCAGAGGAAGGCUCGUCCGCUCUGGGUUAGUCGGGUCCUAAGCUGAGGCCGACAGGCGUAGGCGAUGGAUAACAGGUUGAUAUUCCUGUACCACCUAGUAUCGUUUUAAUCGAUGGGGGGACGCAGUAGGAUAGGCGAAGCGUGCUGUUGGAGUGCACGUCCAAGCAGUAAGGCUGAGUGUUAGGCAAAUCCGGCACUCAUAAGGCUGAGCUGUGAUGGGGAGAGGAAAUUGUUUCCUCGAGUCGUUGAUUUCACACUGCCGAGAAAAGCCUCUAGAUAGAUAACAGGUGCCCGUACCGCAAACCGACACAGGUAGUCAAGAUGAGAAUUCUAAGGUGAGCGAGCGAACUCUCGUUAAGGAACUCGGCAAAAUGACCCCGUAACUUCGGGAGAAGGGGUGCUCUUUAGGGUUCACGCCCAGAAGAGCCGCAGUGAAUAGGCCCAAGCGACUGUUUAUCAAAAACACAGGUCUCUGCUAAACCGUAAGGUGAUGUAUAGGGGCUGACGCCUGCCCGGUGCUGGAAGGUUAAGAGGAGUGGUUAGCUUCUGCGAAGCUACGAAUCGAAGCCCCAGUAAACGGCGGCCGUAACUAUAACGGUCCUAAGGUAGCGAAAUUCCUUGUCGGGUAAGUUCCGACCCGCACGAAAGGCGUAACGAUUUGGGCACUGUCUCAACGAGAGACUCGGUGAAAUCAUAGUACCUGUGAAGAUGCAGGUUACCCGCGACAGGACGGAAAGACCCCGUGGAGCUUUACUGUAGCCUGAUAUUGAAAUUCGGCACAGCUUGUACAGGAUAGGUAGGAGCCUUUGAAACGUGAGCGCUAGCUUACGUGGAGGCGUUGGUGGGAUACUACCCUAGCUGUGUUGGCUUUCUAACCCGCACCACUUAUCGUGGUGGGAGACAGUGUCAGGCGGGCAGUUUGACUGGGGCGGUCGCCUCCUAAAAGGUAACGGAGGCGCUCAAAGGUUCCCUCAGAAUGGUUGGAAAUCAUUCAUAGAGUGUAAAGGCAUAAGGGAGCUUGACUGCGAGACCUACAAGUCGAGCAGGGUCGAAAGACGGACUUAGUGAUCCGGUGGUUCCGCAUGGAAGGGCCAUCGCUCAACGGAUAAAAGCUACCCCGGGGAUAACAGGCUUAUCUCCCCCAAGAGUUCACAUCGACGGGGAGGUUUGGCACCUCGAUGUCGGCUCAUCGCAUCCUGGGGCUGUAGUCGGUCCCAAGGGUUGGGCUGUUCGCCCAUUAAAGCGGUACGCGAGCUGGGUUCAGAACGUCGUGAGACAGUUCGGUCCCUAUCCGUCGUGGGCGUAGGAAAUUUGAGAGGAGCUGUCCUUAGUACGAGAGGACCGGGAUGGACAUACCUCUGGUGUACCAGUUGUCGUGCCAACGGCAUAGCUGGGUAGCUAUGUAUGGACGGGAUAAGUGCUGAAAGCAUCUAAGCAUGAAGCCCCCCUCAA
rnacentral:rRNA from 1 species